AGCUGUGCACUUCAGAUGGGAGCUUCUGUAAUCCUGAGAUGCUAAGAAUUGAGCCACUGUUACUAUAGAUUCGGCGUGGAGUAUCAGGAGUGUGUCAGAUGUAUACAAUUAUAUUCACCUCUGCUGAUGAGAACACUUGGAGUGAACACAUUCAUCAGAGCUUGGGAGUCUCUUCAGACAAGCAAUUGGCUCAGAGCAGCCAACUCCAGAGAGCUUCAGAGAAGUUCAGGUUCAAAAGAACCAACUAACAACUAUUUAC